rnacentral:rRNA from 1 species
GAUGAACGCUAGCGGCAGGCUUAAUACAUGCAAGUCGAGGGGCAGCACAGGUAGCAAUACUGGGUGGCGACCGGCAAACGGGUGCGGAACACGUACACAACUUACCUUAAGGUGGGGGAUAGCCCAGGGAAACUUGGAUUAAUACCCCAUAAUACAGGGGGCCCGCAUGGGUCUAUUGUUAAAGAUUUAUUGCCUUAAGAUGGGUGUGCGUCUGAUUAGGUAGUUGGUGAGGUAAAGGCUCACCAAGCCAACGAUCAGUAACUGGUGUGAGAGCCCGACCAGUAACACGGGCACUGAGACACGGGCCAGACUCCGACGGGAGGCAGCAGUAAGGAAUAUUGGUCAAUGGACGGAAGUCUGAACCAGCCAUGCCGCGUGAAGGAUGAAGGUCCUCUGGAUUGUAAACUUCUUUUAUAGGGGGCGAAAGAGUGCCUUGUGAGGUCAACUGACGGUACCCUAUGAAUAAGCACCGGCUAACUCCGUGCCAGCAGCCGCGGUAACAC